CUGCCCGAGUCCCCGCUGCUUACACACACCCCCAGCCAGCAGCCGCGACCUCCCUUCUCCCCCCUCCCGCGUCACUGGUGGAUGAAAUGCCGCGGCCAUCAGCUGUAUGUGGUGGCGCAAUGAAAGGGCUCACUGGCCCUGUCCUCUCUGCUGCGCUGCAUAUGCAAAAUGUCAGGACCUACCCCGCCACCACCGCGCCCUGAGAGAAGCAGGAGGCCCCCGUGAGAGCUCCCUGAAGGCGGCCUGUCCUGAGACUGGCAGGAUGAUUGAUCGUCCUGCUGAGUUGAGCUGCAGCAAGGCUGUGUCAAUGUCUGAGGAGACGUCCAGAGUCUCUUCUGCUUUGGAGAAAAUGAGGCCUUUCAGCACUGCCAAGAAAAAUGAUGUCCAGAAUGAAGCUACAGUAAAUGAUUCAUUUUCCUGCCAAAUACUGAAAACUCUUUUAUGAAUCAAAAGACGAAUCAGGAACAGUAGUGUUACUGUUAAUGCAUUGUGGUUUUCUGAAAUAACGAAGGCUCUGAGCACUGGCUGAUUUCCUGAUUUCAUGGGAGGGGCACUCUACCUCUCCAAUCACUAAUCAUCUCUAAUUAUAGUUUUCUGAAAAAGCUAUAUUCAGUUAGUCUAUAAACCCAAGAAUACACUGCGUUCAUCCCUCUUUUAAAAUGACCUUACAGUAUGUCUAUAUGGGUAUGGGUCGUUGGGUCGACAGUCAUUAGAUCGGCCACUGAAGGUCAACAUGGGCACUAGGUCGACAUGUACUAGGUCGACAGGUGAAACUGUCGACAUUAGUUUUUGGCAUUUUUUUUGGUGUAGUUUUCUUCGUAAAGUGACAGGGAACCCCAAUUAGUGCACCGUGUCCCCUCGCAUGGCGAAGGCAAGAUUACCAUUCCCAAUUGUAGUCCACGUGGAUCGUAAAGUAUGAAAAAGUCCCAAAAAUUUUUUUGAAGUGAAAAACUCAUGUUGACCUUUUGACCUGUCGACCUAGUACAUGUUGACCUAAUGCACUUGUCGACCUUCAGUGGUCGACCUAAGUUGUGUCGACCCAACGGCCGUAUCCCGUCUACACAGUGCAAAUAAAAGUCACUUAUAAUACACAAAUGUUUUACUUGUUUAUAGAUUAAACUAUACAUUGUUAAAGAAA